GGUUGCGUAGUUCAACGGAUAGAAUAGACGUUUCCUAAACGUUUGAUAUGGGUUCGAUUCCCGUCGCGACCACCA
rnacentral:tRNA from 2 species